GACGAACGCUGGCGGCGUGCCUAAUACAUGCAAGUAGAACGCUGAAGGAGGAGCUUGCUUCUCUGGAUGAGUUGCGCACGGGUGAGUAACGCGUAGGUAACCUGCCUGGUAGCGGGGGAUAACUAUUGGAAACGAUAGCUAAUACCGCAUAAUAGCAGUUGUUGCAUGACAACUGUUUGAAAGGUGCAAUUGCACCACUACCAGAUGGACCUGCGUUGGAUUAGCUAGUUGGUGGGGUAACGGCUCACCAAGGCGACGAUACAGCGGCGACCUGGGAAGGGGGUCCGCCACACUUGGACCGAGAAACGGCCCAGACUCCUUCGGGAGGGAGCAGGAGGGAAAUUUUGGCCAUGGACGGAAAGCUGACCGAGCAACGCCGCGUGAGUGAAGGAGGGUUUCGGAUCGUAAAGCUCUGUUGUAAGGGAAGAACGAGUGUGAGAGUGGAAAGUGCACACUGUGACGGUAUCUUACCAGAAAGGGACGGCUAACUACGUG
rnacentral:rRNA from 1 species